GACGAACGCUGGCGGCGUGCUUAACACAUGCAAGUCGAACGGAAAGGCCCUGCUUGCAGGGUGCUCGAGUGGCGAACGGGUGAGUAACACGGGGGUGAUCUGCCCCUUACUUUGGGAUAAGCCUGGGAAACUGGGUCUAAUACUGGAUAGGACCAUGCUGUAGGGGGUGUGGUGGAAAGAUUAGUUUCGGUAAGGGAUGAGCUCGCGGCCUAUCAGCUUGUUGGUGGGGUAAUGGCCUACCAAGGCGUCGACGGGUAGCCGGCCUGAGAGGGUGGACGGCCACAUUGGGACUGAGAUACGGCCCAGACUCCUACGGGAGGCAGCAGUGGGGACUAUUGCACAAUGGGCGCAAGCCUGAUGCAGCGACGCCGCGUGGGGGAUGACGGCCUUCGGGUUGUAAACUCCUUUCAGCCAUGACGAAGCCCUUGUGGUGACGGUAGUGGUAGAAGAAGCACCGGCUAACUACGUG
rnacentral:rRNA from 1 species